rnacentral:rRNA from 1 species
UACAGAGGUCCCAAGCGUUGUUCGGAUUCACUGGGCGUAAAGGGUGCGUAGGUGGUGGGGUAAGUCGGAUGUGAAAGCUCGGAGCUCAACUCCGAAAUGGCAUUGGAAACUACCCUGCUAGAGGAUUGGAGGGGGGACUGGAAUACUUGGUGUAGCAGUGAAAUGCGUAGAUAUCAAGUGGAACACCAGUGGCGAAGGCGGGUCUCUGGACAGUUCCUGACACUGAGGCACGAAGGCCAGGGGAGCAAACGGG